UUUAGCUGAAACGUGGGCCACUGUAUAUGGUGACUCAGAAAAUCGAUAUAUUGCGAUAGUCUGACUAAGUUCGGACUAAAUGCAAGUGAACAGCUCAGUGAGACUACUGGAGAGGAAUUGGAAUUUUUCUUAGUCGGACUCCACAACCUGGAUACCGUGGGUAAUAGCUGGACUAAGCCACUGUAGCAUGUAGCCCAGUCGCUGGACAACGACCAGACUGAGUGAUGUGCGGCUGUGUUUUGGAACUGGCCACGACCAUGAUCUCCAGAUUUGUCUUCAACUUCCUUCACUGAGAGGUGAGUAAAGUAAUCCCUAAACGUGCUGCAACGCGUGCACAUUUCAGCACGAACACAAAGGCACGGCACUGCUUUGUCUGCCCCUCACUCAGCAGUGACCAUCCCCCACGCCACCUCCUGAUGCUGUGUGUGCGUCUGCAGCGGCGGCGGGUACACGGCGCGGCUCAGGUGUCACCUCUCAGGCGACAGUUCAACGCCCCCCAGGAGAGCAGAAGUGGUCCGUGGGAUACUCUCUUCCUACGCUACCAGCGCUGACGGACAGAGUUCACCUUGUGUCGAUCAGCUGUGGGGAUGCCGUAGUUCUCUGCCCUCAGGUUGGAAGCAGCAACAACGUAGUCCAUGUGAAAGUUGGUAUCAUCGUCCUGAAGCAAAGAAGAGGGAGACACUUAUCAGUCAAAAAAGUUUGAUUCAAAAUGCUCCUACAACUGAGUCAGGAUUGUUUUUUUUGUUUAAUGUGUGACAUGAAUAUUUGCAGAAAUAAUAACUUGGAGACAUCAC